rnacentral:tRNA from 1 species
CCGAGAAUAGCUCAGCUGGUAGAGCGGGAGACUGUAGUUUAACACGAUAUCUCUAGGUCCCUGGUUCAAUUCCGGGUUCUCGGA